UUAAGAUACUAAGAGCAUACGGUGGAUGCCUUGGCGAUAUCUGCCGACGAAGGACGUGACAAGCUGCGAAAAGCUGCGGAGAGAUGCAAAUAAUCGGCGACCCGCAGACAUCCGAAUGGAGAAAUCCGGCUGUGAUGAUGCACAGCCAUCCAUGCCCAAGAGCAUGAGAAGGGAACCGGGCGAACUGAAACAUCUAAGUAACCCGAGGAAAAGAAAUCAAACGAGAUACCCCAAGUAGCGGCGAGCGAACAGGGAAGAAGCCCAAACCGGUGAAGGAAACUUUACCGGGGUUGAGGACCAUCAGAACCGCGAAGAACCUUAGCCGAAACUGUUGGGAAACAGUGCCAAAGACAGUGAAAGCCUGGUAGGCGAAAAAGAGAAACGCGGAGAUGGCACCAGAGUACCGCGGGACACGAGAAAUCCCGUGGGAAGCAGGGGGGACCACCCUCCAAGGCAAAACACAGAUAUCGACCGAUAGCGCAUAGUACCAUGAGGGAAAGGUGAAAAGCACCCCGGGAGGGGAAUGAAAGAGAACCUGAAACCGUAUGUUUACAAGCAGUCGGAGACCGCUUAAUAAUAAGGUCGACGGCGUGCCUAUUGAAGAAUGAACCGGCGAGUUACGAAGCCUGGCAAGGUUAAGCAGGAAAUGCGGAGCCGAAGCGAAAGCGAGUCUUAAGAGGGCGCAAGUCAGGAAGCGUAGACCCGAAACCACAGUGAUCUACCCAUGUCCAGGUUGAAACACAGGUAAAAAUGUGUGGAGGACCGAACCUAUAUCCGUUGAAAAGGGUUAGGAUGAGGUGUGGGUAGGGGUGAAAUUCCAAUCGAACGUGGAGAUAGCUGGUUCUCCCCGAAAUAGCUUUAGGGCUAGCCUCAGGGAAAAGAUUGCAGGCGGUAGAGCACUGAUCAGGAGAGGGACCUACCCGGUUACCAAACCCAGUCAAACUCCGAAUGGCUGCAAUCAUACCUGGGAGUCAGACUGCGACUAAUAAGGGCCGCAGUCAAAAGGGAAACAGCCCAGACCAUCAGCUAAGGUCCCCAAUGCCGUGCUAAGUGGCGAAGGAUGUGGCAUUUCAUAAACAACCAGGAUGUUGGCUCAGAAGCAGCCACCAUUUAAAGAGUGCGUAAUAGCUCACUGGUCGAGAGACGCUGCGCCGAAAAUGUCCGGGGCUCAAGCACGGAACCGAAGCUAUGGCAUGAUAGCAAUAUCAUGGGUAGGGGAGCGUUCUUAUAAGGAAGAAGCAUGACCGGAAGGACAUGUGGACAAAUAAGAAGUGAGAAUGCCGGUAUGAGUAUCGAAAAGAAAGGUGAGAAUCCUUUCCACCGAAAGCCCGAGGGUUCCUGAGCAACGAUCGUCGACUCAGGGUAAGUCGGGACCUAAGCCGAGGCGGAAAGCGUAGGCGAUGGACAACAGGUUGAAAUUCCUGUACCGGAUCAAGUCGAUUGAGCGAAGGAGCGACGCAGGAGGGCACAUGAUCGCGCGGCUGGAAGAGCGCGUCCAAGUGCGUAUGUUGCAGCAGAGGAAAACCCCUGCAGCUAAAAGCAGAGACAUGAAGGGGAGUUAAAGGAAACUUUGACGAACUCAUGAAUCCCACACUGCCAAGAAAAACUUCUAGCGAGACAAGAUCCGCCCGUACCGUAAACCGACACAGGUAGGCGGGGAGAGAAUCCUAAGGUGCGCGGGAAAACCCUCGUUAAGGAACUCGGCAAAUUGCAUCCGUAACCUAGGGAGAAGGAUGGCCCCCGGUCAGUGAAGAGCAGAAACGCUCAGAGCUAAAAGGGGCGGCAGAAAAGAGGCCCAAGCAACUGUUUACCAAAAACACAGGUGCCUGCGAAAGCGAAAGCUGAAGUAUAGGUGCUGACGCCUGCCCGGUGCCGGAAGGUUAAGGAGAGAAGUUAGCGAAAGCGAAGCAUCGAACUGAAGCCCCGGUGAACGGCGGCCGUAACUAUAACGGUCCUAAGGUAGCGAAAUUCCUUGUCGGGUAAG
rnacentral:rRNA from 1 species